GUCAUGAUGAGUAGAAGAAGGCAACACGAUGAAGCAAAACUCCUCCAUCACCACUACGUCGGAGUCUUCCCAUUCAGUCAUCAUCCAAUUUGCUCCAAAGAAUCAAACACAAACAGACGCUUCUUACAGAUGGCUGUCCUCUAGAAUGAAAAUGCACACCAACCACCGGCAAACAUCAAAAGCUAAUCCAACCUUUGGCUUUGUGUGGAAAGGUCUUUGGAAACCCUGCGACUGAUGCAAUGUUGGUGCCCUAGAAGACAAGUCAGCACAGUUCAGACGAGCCAGCCAGAGGAGGUCACCGCCAGCCUUGUAUCGAGGUUCCAACGUCCUUCAUCGGGGAACUCGGCAUGGAUAUGCAAGACGACACUCGAAUCACUGAUGGACAAAUGCCUGAAACGGCUGGAAAAAUAGAAAAGAUGGUUACAGAGACUGUUAUUGCUGUUCUUCUUUCAGUACAAUAUUUGCCUUCCAUAAAAUAUUCACAUGUUCCAAUUUAAUAUUCUUGAUGCUGUUGUAAAUAAAAUUUGCACACUGUCUUCGCACUGUCUGCAUAAUUGAAUUGGCCGCUUAUGGUGAUCUUGAACUCUGUACAAAAAGUUCCAGCGUUGUGGCUCUCCUGCCUUCUCUCCAAGUUAUAGUGAUCUGAUAAAGAUAAGACAUGGCAAGUUUGCUCUUAUAUGCACAGAUGGUGUCAAAUGAAAGUAAUGCGACCUGAACUAGGCAGCAUAAUGUUAUCUCUUUCUGUGGGUAUUGUCUCAGUUUCCACACUAGC